GGUGUGCUAAUACCGCAUAACAUAUCAGAUUCGCAUGUUUCUGAUAUCAAAGAUUUAUUGCUCAAGGAGUGGGCUCGCGGCCGAUUAGCUAGUUGGUGGGGUAACGGCUCACCAAGGCGACGAUCAGUAGCCGGUCUGAGAGGAUGGACGGCCACAGUUGGGACUGAGACACCGGACCCAAACUCCUACGGGAGGCAGCAGGUGGGGAAUAUUGCACAAUGGGGGAAACCCUGAUGCAGCGAUGCCGCGUGAAGGAUGAAGUAUCUCGGUACGUAAACUUCUAUCAGCAAGGAAGAAACUGACAGUACUUGAUUAGGAAGCCCCGGCUAACUACGUG
rnacentral:rRNA from 1 species